UACAGAGACUGCAAGCGUUAUUCGGAUUCACUGGGCGUAAAGGGCGCGCAGGCGGCCGUGUGUGUCAGGUGUGAAAGCCCGGAGCUUAACUCCGGAAUUGCGCCUGAAACUACAUGGCUAGAGUAUUGGAGAGGGUAGCGGAAUUCACGGUGUAGCAGUGAAAUGCGUAGAUAUCGUGAGGAACACCAGAGGCGAAGGCGGCUACCUGGACAAUUGCUGACGCUCAGGCACGAAAGCGUGGGGAGCAAAAGGG
rnacentral:rRNA from 1 species